CAUGUAGGCGGAUGAGUAAGCGUUUUGUGAAAUCCCACGGCUUAACCGUGGAAUUGCUUGGCGAACUGCUCAUCUUGAGGCAAGUAGGGGUGCAUGGAACUCUUGGUGGAGCGGUGGAAUGCGUAGAUAUCAAGAGGAACGCCAAUGGUGAAAACAGUGCACUGGGCUUGUUCUGACGCUGAGAUGCGAAAGCGUGGGGAGCGAACGGGAUUAGAUACCCCGGUAGUCCACGCCGUAAACGAUGCCUACUAGGUCGUAGAACCUCUGACGGUUUUAUGGCCGAAGCAAAAGUGUUAAGUAGGCCGCCUGGGGAGUACGGUCGCAAGGCUAAA
rnacentral:rRNA from 1 species